ensembl:snRNA U2 U2 spliceosomal RNA
AUAGUGGCCCUGAGUUCUUCAUUGCUUACACCUUGUAUAAUCACUUACACCUGUGCAAGGUGCUACCAAAUCAGAAAGGUAGCUUAUUUUGCACAGGACUAUAUAUUAAAUGAUUUUUUAGAACAGGGAGAUGGAACAGGAGCUUGCUUCAUCCACUCCAUGCAUUGACCUGGUAUUGUAGUACCUCCAGGUACAGUGCACCUCCC